UACAGAGGUCUCAACCGUUGCUCGGAUUUAUUGGGCGUAAAGAGCGUGUAGGCGGCCGCACAGGUCCGUUGUGAAAACUGGAGGCUUAACCUUCAGACGUCGAUGGAAACCGUGCGGCUAGAGUCCGGAAGAGGAGAAUGGAAUUCCUGGUGUAGCGGUGAAAUGCGCAGAUAUCAGGAAGAACACCCGUGGCUAAGGCGGUUCUCUAGUACGGUACUGACGCUGAGACGCGAAAGCGUGGGGAGCGAACAGG
rnacentral:rRNA from 1 species